rnacentral:lncRNA from 1 species
AUGAGGUCUCCGCGUCCCACCACUGGGGAGAGAUGGUCAAGUGUGGGAGUUUCCAGAGAAGCCAAGCACGCCUACGUUACAAGUUGGAACAGGAUAUCACUCAGAAUUUGUAAAUGUGUAAAUAUUCUAAACACCCGAUUUUUUUCGUGUAACUGCUGGAAAAUGGAAAACUUUGUCUGGGCUCCCACUUGUGCCAGACGGAACCCGGGCUCACCUCUGCAUAGUCCUAAGGCUCAUCAUGGCUUUCAUCGGAUGCCCUACCAGCAGUCCUACAGCAGACCUCUGCUAGAGGCUCCCUCAGCCCCUUUUGCAGCACAGCCCCUCAACAUGGUCAGUUUCAGCUCUUCUGUGCUCUGCUGGAGGUAUGUCCGGUCUAGGACUGACAAGCUGAUGUGGGAAGAGUGCAGCGAGUUCCAUCUCACGGCUUCCAACCAAGGAAAGGAAAUGCUACCGUGCAAACGUUAUUUUAAAAUAGUAACUGUUUAUAUUCCAGCAUAA